rnacentral:tRNA from 1 species
AUUCCCAUUGAGCCAAGCCCCACAAUGCCGACAUGAAAAUCAGUUCCUGUUGUCAUUAUCACUCCAUGUUAAUUUAC